AUUGAACGCUGGCGGUAGGCUUAACACAUGCAAGUCGAGCGAGCGGCGGACGGGUGAGAAAUGUCUGGGAAACUGCCUGAUGGAGGGGGAUAACUACUGGAACCGGUAGCUAAUACCGCAUACCAUCAGAUGUGCCCAGAUGGGAUUAGCUAGUAGGUGGGGUAACGGCCCACCUGGGCGACGAUCCCUAGCUGGUCUGAGAGGAUGACCAGCCACACUGGAGGUGGGACACGGUCCAGAGUCCUACGAGAGGCAGCAGUGGGGAAUAGUGGACAAUGGGCGCAAGCCUGAUGCAGCCAUGCCGCGUGUGAGGAGAAGGCCUUCGGGGUGGAAAGCACUUUCAGCGGGGAGGCGUUACCCGCAGAAGAAGCACCGGCUAACUCCGUGCCAGCCGCCGCGGUAAUAC
rnacentral:rRNA from 1 species